ensembl:lncRNA NDUFA6-DT NDUFA6 divergent transcript
CCAAGGUUGAAGAGGUUGUCCUGUCAUAAAGCCCCCCUAAGACACGAUGUCACACAUAGACACCACUCUCUGUGCGAAAGGGGGGGCCUGUGCACUGAACUCCCAGACUUAGCUGGGCCUCAGUGCUCUUCUUGGGUUUGGUCAUAGAGCCCAAGAGGAGGUGGAUAAGCUGCCUGACACUGAUAUGGUAAAAGGAUUAUCUGCAAAUUUCUAGCGUCAUCAAGACUGGCCUCUUUGGUCACGACCCCCAGGAGACCUGGAGGACUGAAUGCUGCUGCCCCCAAGGAGGAGGCUGCCGUCUUAUCCCAGGAGGGAGAGCAGGAAAAUAAAAAGGUUCAAAAGGAAGUUGCUGCGUAUCCAUCUGAGGCCUCUGAGGACAGCAAAGAGCA